GUGCCAGCAGCCGCGGUAAUACGGGGGGGGCAAGCGUUGUUCGGAAUUACUGGGCGUAAAGGGCUCGUAGGCGGCCUGCUAAGUCAGACGUGAAAUCCCUCGGCUCAACCGGGGAACUGCGUCUGAGACUGGACGGCUCGAGUUCGGGAGAGGGAUGCGGAAUUCCAGGUGUAGCGGUGAAAUGCGUAGAUAUCUGCAGGAACACCAGUGGCGAAAGCGGCGCGCUGGACCGCAACUGACGCUGAGAGACGAAAGCUAGGGGAGCAAACAGGAUUAGAUACCCUGGUAGUCCUAGCCGUAAACGAUGAGUACUUGGUGUCCCGUGUUUUACGGGGCGUCGAAGUUAACACAUUAAGUACUCCACCUGGGACUACGGCCGCAAGGCUAAAACUCAAAGGAAUUGACGG
rnacentral:rRNA from 1 species